rnacentral:rRNA from 1 species
GACGAACGCUGGCGGCGUGCUUAACACAUGCAAGUCGAACGAAGAGCGAUGGAAGCUUGCUUCUAUCAAUCUUAGUGGCGAACGGGUGAGUAACGCGUAAUCAACCUGCCCUUCAGAGGGGGACAACAGUUGGAAACGACUGCUAAUACCGCAUACGAUCUAAUCUCGGCAUCGAGGAUAGAUGAAAGGUGGCCUCUACAUGUAAGCUAUCACUGAAGGAGGGGAUUGCGUCUGAUUAGCUAGUUGGAGGGGUAACGGCCCACCAAGGCGAUGAUCAGUAGCCGGUCUGAGAGGAUGAACGGCCACAUUGGGACUGAGACACGGCCCAGACUCCUACGGGAGGCAGCAGUGGGGAAUCUUCCGCAAUAGACGAAAGUCUGACGGAGCAACGCCGCGUGAGUGAUGACGGCCUUCGGGUUGUAAAGCUCUGUUAAUCGGGACGAAAGGCCUUCUUGCGAAUAGUGAGAAUGAUUGACGGUACCGGAAUAGAAAGCCACGGCUAACUACGUG